CAGAUGAAGAAAUGGACGUUUCAAGAGGGUAAGAAAUUUGUCCAAAUGUUCAUAGCUAAUGGGUAUCUGGAUUUGAACUAAGGCCAGAUGUUUUAUCCUGCUGUGUUAAGUCAUCUUGACAUGUUGCCAUGAAAUGGAAACAACUGCUCGUUUUAAUAUUGCUCCAUAUCUUUAUUACAAGAUGCUUUUAUGGUUCUACAAAUCGGGGUUGCCCAGGACAAGGAUAACAGCAAGAAAUAUCUCAAAUUCCCUCUAAAAUCUCUAAGAUCUAAUUAGCACUUAUGUGGAAAAGCCAU